rnacentral:rRNA from 1 species
UAGUCCACACCGUAAACGAUGAGAGCUAGUUGUCUGCAAGCAUGCUUGUAGGUGACGCAGCUAACGCAUUAAGCUCUCCGCCUGGGGAGUACGGUCGCAAGAUUAAAACUCAAAGAAAUUGACGGGGGCCCGCACAAGCGGUGGAGCAUGUGGUUUAAUUCGAUGCAACGCGAAGAACCUUACCAGGUCUUGACAUCCCGAGAAGUCGCUAGAGAUAGCUUCGUGCCUUCGGGAACUCGGUGACAGGUGCUGCAUGGCUGUCGUCAGCUCGUGUCGUGAGAUGUCAGGUUAAGUCCUAUAACGAGCGCAACCCACGUUGUUAGUUGCCAGCAUUAAGUUGGGCACUCUAGCAAGACUGCCGGUGUUAAACCGGAGGAAGGUGUGGGACGACGUCAAGUCAUCAUGGGCUCUUACGUCCAGGGGCUACACACGUGUUACAAUGGCACGCACAACGGGCUGCUACCUAGCAAUAGGAUGCUAAUCCC